UUAAAAUAAGAGUUGGUUCACGAUCUCCUCCUCAUUUCAUAAAACACCCCAUCCUUCAUCGGUGGCGCUCUUCACUUAUCCCCUCCAAAACCUUCAUCGGCGGUGCCUCUCGCUUGUACACCACCGUUACCUGAUGCUUUAUCACACCCCUUGGCCAAUCUCUCCGUCACACCACUUCCAUAAUCUCUCUCUUUUAGUUUCGAUACCGAUGAAUUUUACCACCCUCUCGAUGCCGUUUUCUGUCACUGCUCACUGAAGCUCGUCAUUGUCAUCGCCGCUUCUACCUCUUCUUCUCGUCGCCGUUGAUUCAGGAUUUUGAUGACAUGGAUAAGCGCUUGAAGGAUAUAGAAGAUGAAACUACUGCUCUUAAAGAGAUACUAGGAUCAGUAGCAGAAUGGAGAAGAUUGAACGGCAUUGAAUAUCCUGCAAUCAACUACAGAAAGCACAGUGCGGUAUUGACUGAUUUUGGUGGCAUUGGUGAUGGAAAAACUUCCAACAUGAAGGAAUUUCAAUAUGCAGUAAGCAGCCUGAGCCACUAUGCAUCUGAUGGUGUGCACAACUUGUUGUGCCACCUGGUAAAUGGCUCACUGGAAGCUUUAAUCUCACCAGCCAUUUCACUCUCUUUCUCCAAAAGGAUGCUCUCAUUCUUGCAUCUCAGAAUGGCCUCCACUUCCUGUUCUACCAUCUUAUGGGAGGGGAAGAGAUGCUCCUGAUGGAAGAUUUAGCAGCCUCAUCUUUGGAACUAACCUCACUGAUGUUGUAAUCACUGGUGCUAAUGGCACAAUUGACGGGCAAGGGUCAUAUUGGUGGGCCAAAUUCAAACAGAACCAAUUCAAACUGACUAGAUCAUACUUGAUAGGGAUCAUGUACUCUGAUCAAAUCCAGAUUUCAUGGAAACAGAUUCUCAGGUGAAAUUUCACCAGAUGUAGGCAAGUUAAAGAGUGUUCUCAAGAUGUAUUUGAGUGUUAACAAUUUUUCAGAUUCACAUAUUGAAUUAUCUCAAUGUCUCAUGGAAGAAUGAAAGCAGCAAGGAGCUCAGGAUCGCUAAUGUUAAUGAUAAAAUGUAUUUCAUGUGCACUUACCCUGCGAUAUUCCCUACUUG